CCUACGGGAGGCAGCAGUGAGGAAUAUUGGUCAAUGGACGCAAGUCUGAACCAGCCAUGCCGCGUGCAGGAAGACGGCCCUAUGAGUUGUAAACUGCUUUUGUACGAGGGAAAACGCGGAUACGCGUAUCUGUCUGAAAGUAUCGUACGAAUACGGAUCGGCUAACUCCGUGCCAGCAGCCGCGGUAAUACGGAGGAUUCCAGCGUUAUCCGGUUUUAUUGGGUUUAAAGGGUGCGGAGGCGGGCUGAUAAGUUAGAGGUGAAAUCCCGGGGCUCAACCUCGGAAUUGCCUCUGAUACAGUUCGGCUAGAGAGUAGUAGCGGUAGGCGGAAUGUCUGGUGUAGCGGUGAAAUGCUUAGAGAUCAUACAGAACACCGAUUGCGAAGGCAGCUUACCAAGCUACUUCUGACGUUGAGGCACGAAAGCGUGGGGAGCAAACAGGAUUAGAUACCCUAGUAGUC
rnacentral:rRNA from 1 species